rnacentral:lncRNA from 1 species
GAUUUCUCUAAUACAAUAGUUGUAGAUGGUCAAGUCCAUAUCUUUGAUUCGACCAAAUGGACCUUGAUUGUGGCUUAGUGGUUGAACCCAAAUCAUUAGGUUGGUCCAAUCAAAACUAAUUAACCAAUUGAUAUCUAAGAUAAGUUUGGUAUUUUGAUCAGUGAUUUUUAAUUGAGAGCAGCUUACCUAGCUAUUUCGAUGGUGUCUAAGGCAAGCUUAGCAGACCCUC